CAAUAGCGUAUAUUUAAGUUGCUGCAGUUAAAAAGCUCGUAGUUGGAUUUCGGGUGGGAAUGGCCGGUCCGCCGUUUCGGUGUGCACUUGCUACGCCCACCUUGCUGCCGGGGACGUGCUCUUGAGUUCACGCUCGGGACACGGAGUCGGCGAGGUUACUUUGAGUAAAUUAGAGUGUUCAAAGCAGGCCUACGCUCUGAAUACAUUAGCAUGGAAUAACACGAUAGGACUCUUGCCUAUCUUGUUGGUCUGUAGGACCGGAGUAAUGAUUAAGAGGGACAGUCGGGGGCAUUCGUAUUUCAUUGUCAGAGGUGAAAUUCUUGGAUUUAUGAAAGACGAACUACUGCGAAAGCAUUUGCCAAGGAUGUUUUCAUUAA
rnacentral:rRNA from 1 species